rnacentral:rRNA from 1 species
GGCGAACGCUGGCGGCGGGCUUAACACAUGCAAGUCGAACGGAAAGGCACUGCUUUUGUGGGGUUCUGGGGUGGCAAACGGGUGAGUGACACGUGUGUAACCUGCCCUUGACUUUGGGAUGGGUUAAGGAAGGGGGAGCUAAGACCGGACAGGAUCUCCUCCUUCAGUGUGGGGGUGGGAAAUUUUCGGCGGUUGGGGCUGGACUCGCGGCUUAUGAGCUUGCUGGUGGGGUAGUGGAUUGCCAAGGCUGUGGAGGGUAUCCGGCCUGAGAGGGUGCCCGGCCACAAUGGGACUGCGAUACGGACCAGACGCCUACGUGAGGCAGCAGUGGGGAACAUUGCACAAUGGUCGGAAGCCUGAUGCAGCAACGUCGCGUUCGUGAUGACCGCCUGCUGGUUGUAAACCGCUUUCGCCUGUGACGAAGCGUGAGUGACGGUAACGGGUAAAGAAGCACCGGCUAACUACGUG